UAUGCAAAUAAUUUUCUCUUCUGCUCAUUAAAACUAGCCAUGACUCUACAGUUUGACACAGGCACCCAGGUCUGCACUCAAAAAUCCUCCCAUUUUGUGGUCAGCCCUGAACACAUAACAUCUAAGAUGUACUUGAGGCUGAGCUGGAUUUUUCUUUUUGCUCUUUUUGAAGGUGUCCAGUGUGAUGUGCAGCUAGUGGAAACUGGGGGAGGCUUGGUACAGCCUGGAGGGUCCCUAAAACUCUCCUGUGCAGCCUCUGGAUUCACAUUCAGUGACUACUGGAUGCACUGGGUCCGCCAGGCACCAGGAAAGGGCCUAGAGUGGGUUGGUAUGAUUACAGACAAACUUGAUAACUAUGAAACACACUAUGCAGAAUCUGUGAAAGGCAGAUUCACCAUCUCAAGAGAUGAUUCAAAAAGCAUCCUGUACCUGCAAAUGAACAGCUUAAGAGUUGAAGACACUGCCAUUUAUUACUGUACUGACAGCACAGUGAGAGGAUUCCAGUGUGAACCCUGA